AAGACUAUACUUUCAGGGAUUAUUUCUAUAGUUCGUUACUAGAGAAGUUUCUCUGAUUGUGUAGAGAACCCGAAAACACGAGGAGGAGGUGCAGUGUCCCUUCCUGAGUGUGAAGCUGACUUUGGGUGUUGUUUCAUGCAGUUGCCCUUUGUUAUUGAUCAUUGAAGAGGGAAGGGAUGCCGUUUGAGUGGU
rnacentral:snoRNA from 1 species